rnacentral:rRNA from 1 species
CCUACGGGAGGCAGCAGUGGGGAAUCUUAGACAAUGGGCGCAAGCCUGAUCUAGCCAUGCCGCGUGCCUAGCGAUGAAGGCCUUAGGGUUGUAAAGCUCUUUCAGUAGAGAAGAUAAUGACUGUACCCACAGAAGAAGCCCCGGCUAACUCCGUGCCAGCAGCCGCAGUAAU